AUUGAACGCUGGCGGCAGGCCUAACACAUGCAAGUCGAGCGGAUGAAGGGAGCUUGCUCCUGGAUUCAGCGGCGGACGGGUGAGUAAUGCCUAGGAAUCUGCCUGGUAGUGGGGGAUAACGUCCGGAAACGGGCGCUAAUACUGCAUACGUCCUGAGGGAGAAAGUGGGGGAUCUUCGGACCUAACGUUACCAGAUGAGCCUAGUUCGGAUUAGUUAGUUGGUGGGGUAAGGGCCUACCAAGCCGACGAUCCGUAACUGGUCUGAUAGGAUGAUCAGUCACACUGGAACUGAGACACGGUCCAGACUCCUACGAGAGGCAGCAGUAGGGAAUAUUGGACAGUGGGCGAAAGCCUGAUCCAGCCAUGCCGCGUGUGUGAAGAAAGUCUUCGGAUUGUAAAGCACUUUAAGUUGGGAGGAAGGGCAGUAAGUUAAUACCUUGCUGCUUUGACGUUACCAACAGAAUAAGCACCGGCUAACUUCGUG
rnacentral:rRNA from 1 species